GCGGGAAAUUUUCAGAACUUCGUAUGUCACUAGCAGGGGUGAAAUACGGAAAAUACGCGCACCUGGCCCCGGAUGUAGUGACGUAUGAGUUCUACGAGUGUUUUAGUUUCCAGUAAAACACCAUUGUCCAUAUAAUAAAACAAUAUAAUAAUAAUAUACAAGUGACGAGUAUGUCCGACGUGUGACGAGUAUGUCCGACGAUGAGUGACGAGUAUGUCCGACGACCUCCGAAAGGCC